rnacentral:rRNA from 1 species
UACGAAGGGGGCUAGCGUUGCUCGGAAUCACUGGGCGUAAAGGGCGCGUAGGCGGCCAGCACAAGUCAGUUGUGAAAUCUCCGAGCUUAACUCGGAAAGGUCAACUGAUACUGUGCGGCUAGAGUGCGGAAGGGGCAACUGGAAUUCUUGGUGUAGCGGUGAAAUGCGUAGAUAUCAAGAGGAACACCUGCGGCGAAGGCAGCUCGCUGGGACGUGACUGACGCUGAGACGCGAAAGCGUGGGGAGCAGACAGG